CUCUGUUGGAAACCCUAACUCUUUAACCCUCCCUCCCUCAGAUCCGCCGCGCCUCCUCUCAUAGUCGCCGCACCUCCCUUCCUCUUCGUGGCCGGCCCCGCCACCGGCGGCGCCCCCCCUCCACUGCUCCUCGCGUCCCCGCCUCCUACCUUAGCUCCACGCAUCCCCCACUCCUACCCCGGCUGGCCCGUGGUGAAGGGGCGCACGACACAGGCCUCGCGAAGCCCCGAGCCCAGCAUAGAGGCGGCGCGCUGGUGCCACUCGGAGCAACACCAUGCCGCGAUGAGCUGCUGCUGCGGUCGACAGAUUCGGGGGCGCGGUCGAUGGAUCCGAGCUGCUACCAGGCAAGGCCUCAUCGGGCGGGCCGCCGCUGCACAUGGCCGCUUCACCACCCGCACCUGCCGCUGCUCCUUCUCCAAUCCAGCGGCGGGAAGGGAUCCAGUGGCUCCAGGCCUGUUGCUUGCGGCGGCGGGAGGUAGGCGGCCGUGGCCGCAAAAUCACGGCGGCGCUCGGCCUCGUCCGCUAGCGCGAGGAGCCCCUCCGCGAACGCCGACAACGCGGACGCGGCGGCGAACGACAUGGCAGUGGCAGUUCUACUCCGGCACACACGGCUCGACAGCCAAAGCGAUGCUCCUCUCUCCCUCUCCCCUCUGAUCUGCGCCCCUCUCCUCAACCUCGCAGGAUCCAGGGCGCGUCCGCUGCGAUGGGUGGGAGUGGUUGGAUUGUUUGGUUGGCUUCACUUCUUGCUCUUGAUUUGGUGCUCUGCUCCGCCGAUGCCAGCCUCGGGGAUGCUGAACCAUGGUACAGGUGAGAUGCUGUAAUGUGUUACAGUGCAAUUCUAGUAACAUAGCUUUUAUGGAACAAUAUGCAAAAGAUAAUCCAGUAGCAUUACUUCAGCCUUCAUGAUUGUGCAAGAUAUUUCAGUAUUGAUCUUGCUUGUGUUACAGGAAGUGUGAUAUGGUUGGGGGUAUAACAUCUGCUGUUUGAUUUCAGUGGGUGGUGAAUAUAAAUCGAAGGGAAACUUGAAAUUAGCGUUGUUCUGGUUUUCUGCUAUCAUUUUCUAUUUUUGCCAAGCUGCUAAGGUACCUUAUCUCCUGGAAUUUGUUUCUGUUAGUGCAAGUUUAACUACUCUGAUGAUCUUGUAGAUCACCAUUGUGCCAUAUUCGGCUGGGGAUAACCAACUUAAAUGUAAAUUACCGCUGUUCAUGUCAUAACUCACAGCAGCAUCAGUGUGAAUGAGAUGUUAAGAGUGCUAGUUUGCAAAGAUCCAUGCUUGCGAGAUUACUGCAGGCAAUACUUUUCAGUUGGGAACGAAAUGAAAUCUGAAUUUGAACAGGCCCUGCUCACCAGUGAGGAUGGUAAAAUUCUUUGAGAAUUAGGAUACUGUGGUGCUCUUAACUGUGAGAUCGCCACAUUAUGCACACAUUAUGUUCGGAAAGUUAACUGAAUCCUUUUACUUGGUUAUUGUGUUUGAGUCUUCUACUUGGUUACCAUGUUGGUUGACACUAACCACAUGAAUCCUAGGUACUCUGUAUUUUACUUGCCUGCACAUGUCAUUUGCACGAUAGAUCUCUUUUUCAUUAUCUGGAGACACAGGUGCUCAGUAUUUGGUUUCACUACUAAGGUCAUUUAGACCGGAAGAAUGGCAGAGGUGGCUGUAAGGUUAUUUAAAGGGCUAAAGAAUUGGCGGUUAGAAUAGAAGAGAAGCCUCACAGAGAAGAAAUCAUUGUAGCCAAAUGUGCUGCCACAACAGUCAUCAAAACUGAGUGGUGAAAAAGAAUUCUUUGCUUGGUUGCUGCUGCUGGUUCAUACUCUUGGUGAAACCUAUCUUUUGUUUUUUUCUGGUCCAUUUUGUUGUCUUUGGUCCCGCAAUGUUAGAUUGCUAGUUCUGAUUCAUGGAAAACACUGUAUGUGAUCCAUUAUUUUGGUGUCAUGAUGCUUGAUGGAAAUAUUAUUGAUAUGAGGUUAUAAUUUGGACUGUAAUUGCUUAUUGUGACUUUUGGGCAGGAACUUUUGUUUUGGUAAA